AACGAACGCUGGCGGCAUGCCUAACACAUGCAAGUCGAACGAGACCUUCGGGUCUAGUGGCGCACGGGUGCGCAACGCGUGGGAAUUUGCCUCGGGGUACGGAAUAAACUCAGGGAAACUUGAGCUAAUACCGUAUGAUGUCUUCGGACCAAAGAUUUAUCGCCCUGAGAUAAGCCCGCGUAGGAUUAGCUAGUUGGUGAGGUAAAGAGCUCACCAAGGCGACGAUCCUUAGCUGGUCUGAGAGGAUGAUCAGCCACACUGGGACUGAGACACGGCCCAGACUCCUACGGGAGGCAGCAGUGGGGAAUAUUGGACAAUGGGCGAAAGCCUGAUCCAGCAAUGCCGCGUGAGUGAUGAAGGCCU
rnacentral:rRNA from 1 species